GCGAGUGAGCGNCAAGAGCUCCAAAUUUGAAAGCUGGCUCCUNNNNNNNNNUNNUGUAAUUUGCAGAGGAUGCUUCGGGAGCGGCCCCCAUCUAAGUGCCCUGGAACGGGCCGUCAUAGAGGGUGAAAAUCCCGUCUGGGAUGGGGUGUCCGCGCCCGUGUGAAGCUCCUUCGACGAGUCGAGUUGUUUGGGAAUGCAGCUCUAAAUGGGUGGUAAAUUUCAUCUAAAGCUAAAUAUUGGCCGGAGACCGAUAGCGCACAAGUAGAGUGAUCGAAAGAUGAAAAGCACUUUGAAAAGAGAGUUAAACAGCACGUGAAAUUGUUGAAAGGGAAGCGCUUGCGACCAGACUCGCCCACGGGGUUCAGCCGGCAUUCGUGCCGGUGUACUUCCCCGCGGGCGGGCCAGCGUCGGUUUGGGCGGCCGGUCAAAGGCCCUCGGAAUGUAACGCCCCCCGGGGCGUCUUAUAGCCGAGGGUGCCAUGCGGCCAGCCCAGACCGAGGAACGCGCUUCGGCUCGGACGCUG
rnacentral:rRNA from 1 species